rnacentral:rRNA from 1 species
GCAGUCGUACGAGAGUUUUUACUCAAGUGGCGGACGGGUGAGUAACACGCUGCAGAAUUUGCCUUUAGGAGGGGGAUAACAGAGUGAAAACGCUGCUAAUACCCCAUAUGCUUUCGAGUGAAAUGGAUUUAUUCGCCUAAAGAGAAGCUCGCGGCUGAUUAGCUUGUUGGUAAGGUAAUGGCUUACCAAGGCGACGAUCAGUAUCUGGUUUGAGAGGACGAUCAGACACACUGGAACUGAGACACGGUCCAGACUCCUACGGGAGGCAGCAGUGGGGAAUUUUCCGCAAUGGGCGAAAGCCUGACGGAGCAAUACCGCGUGAGGGAUGACGGCCUAUGGGUUGUAAACCUCUUUUCUCAGGGAGGAAAUCAAUGACGUUACCUGAGGAAUAAGCAUCGGCUAACUCCGUGCCAGCAGCCGCGGUAAGACGGAGGAUGCAAGUGUUAUCCGGAAUCACUGGGCGUAAAGCGUCUGUAGGUGGCUUAACAAGUCAACUGUUAAAUCUUGAAGCUCAACUUCGAAAUCGCAGUCGAAACUGUUAGGCUAGAGUAUAGUAGGG